CCCCAAACCCCUACCCGCUCGACGUGUGUCUGAUGUGGACUCAAUAGUAUCUAGCUCUAUCUACACAUGGUAAACCAUGUACUACAAAUAUGGCGUUUUGGCUUUUUGGAUUAUUUUAUAACGAUGCAUCCAUGAAAGAACCGUCUUUUCUGCUGGAACUUGCAUUGAAAUGUAUGACACCAAUGAAUGACUUUGCUUUUAACGUAAUCUCAUCUUAAAAAGCUAUGUUUGUUUUCAUAAUGAAAUGAUACCGGAAAGUUCAUAAUAUAUUGACUUUAUGUUCUGUUUCCUUUUUGAGUCUGUUAUUUCAUGUUAAUAGUAUGUGUGUGUCUAUAAAUGGUAUGUGUAUACUUAAAUUCAAAGGCCUGAUGAUCAAUGGUAUCAUAUUUAAGGUGUCCAUUAUUCAUUUAAGACAAUGGUUGACGUAUGGAUUACUUUUGGCCUGUUUCAAUGAAGGGUUAAGGCAUAUUUUCUGUCACUCUGGAUGACGUUUGAGAAAUUAAUUGAAUAUAUAUGAAUAUAUUAGUCAACCUUCUUGACACAGGACACAACAGAAAAACAACAAACAAAGUUUCUUAGUUUCGCUUUAAACAAUGUAUCCCAGAACUAUUUCAACCUUGUCUUACCUUGUGACUCAAAAAGUAAAACAAAUGUUCAGAGUGCCCAUAUAUUUUAAAUACAAAAACGUUGACAAUUAAAGAUACCUUUAGACUCCCACAGAUUUGAAGUCUAUUGCCUCCGGAAAUAGAUCAGAAUUUGUCCAUCACCACACUCGCUGCAAUUGUUGUAUCCCCCGGCAACAAGCUUGGCGUGCAUAGCGUAGUCCUCCUGUACACGUCUCAAGUUGAAGUUUAAGAAGAACAAACUGUAGAUUCCCCUGUGAAAACACACACUUCUAGGUAUGUUGUCUUCGUCCCAACAUUGAUAAUUCAUCCUGAAAUUGUUCCUAGAGAAUGCCUCUUAGGAUGAGGGGAUCAGUGAUGACCCUGCCUCUGAUCAAGUAUUAGCUUCCACAGAGAUUAAAGGCUUUUUUGUUUUUUUUGUUUGUCGUGCUUUUACAAAUUAACAGAUCUCAAGGUUAACCGGAUUUGUAAUGUGAAAUAACAAUUAAAUUAUGUGUUAUCGAUCAUGAUCUAAACAAAAAUCUUGCAAUUUCUUUCAUGGCAAUUUGUCAUCCAUACUUGCAAGCAGGUGCUUCUGUAGAGAUGUAUUAGAUAUGUUUACUGUUAUUCUUUCAUAAACAUCCAAAUGUGUUUACAGAAAAACAAAGAUCUGCAGUAUAGACCCCAUAAUGGCAGUAAAGGGGCUGCUGGUUAAGUCUACCCUUAAACAUACAUGUCAAAGUGGAGAAGGCUGUGUAACUUCAGCUCCAUUGAGUUUUCCUAGCAACACUGUUGGGAGGGUGAACAGUAGCCAGCACUAACAGCAGUCCUAGCAUGUCUUACCAGUUCCUCUCCCCAUCUCACAGUGUGUCUAAUAUGAAUGCUCAGGGCAAAAUUGGACUGGCAAUUGUACAGACUCCCCACCACCGACCUAAGCAUGAUUGGUGGAGAUGGGAAUUUGGUUAUGUGAUUUGAUAGUUUUGUUUACACAAAAUAGUUGAUUUCUUUAAAAGUAAAUUAUAACACAAUCCAAAGUCUCACAGUAGGUGGAACCAAAACAUGUUUGGAACUUGCAUAUAUACAUACAAAUUAGCAGCUGUGAUGUUAAGUUCAGAGUUGCCAUAUUUUCUAGUAUUGAGACCAGCAGACAACCUAUAUGUGCACAGUACUGAAUCAAUUCAGAAAAAUAACUGCAUUGAUACUGUUGACUGUCCUUGCCACCAUUCAAUGUACUACUUCCAAGCAGUUCAAAUCAAGCUUCAAAUAGGUACAAUAACCCUGUUACAAUCUGACCCUAUUGUGUGCUUGUGCGUAUGUGUGUGUGUGUGUGUGUGUGUGUGUGUGUGUGUGUGUGUGUGUGUGUGUGUGUGUGUGUGUGUGUGUGUGUGUGUGUGUGUGUGUGUGUGUGUGUGUGUGUGUGUGAGUGUGUGUGUGUUUCUGUGUGUCUGUCUGUUCGCCCUUAAUUAUUGAUCUAUUUCAUCAUGUCACAAGUUCUAUGAGCCAUGGGAUCUUUAAAAUGAACAUUAAGUCGGCAAACCGGUUUGCCUGUGUACAAGGAAUAACAUUGUUAUAUUUCAUGUACUAUUUACUUUUCUUUAUUCAUUUUUUUGCCGCCCCCCAUGCGUGAUUAACAGACGUUUAUAUAAUAUGUUUAAGUCAGUAAAUCCAUCUCCAAAUACAGCACAUGGUUUGGAAAUAAUCGGAUUCCUUAUGAUUGUAACCCUGGAAAUCAAUCACCGAAAGGAGCUUUCAAUCAUGGUACCUAAAUUUCUCGCCCUUUUCUAUUUUAAUUUACUUUCUUAAUGCUUGAAAUUAUUGCAGUCCGUUUCUAAAAAAUAUAUAUGUAAUAAAGGUAAAUGAGAAAAUGUUAAUAACUUGAAAUAAAGUUGUUUGAAUUCAAUGUUCUGUAUUUGAAUGUCAAUUAAGAUGUUGAGGGAAAACAUUUUUUGGGGGCCAGCUUGGGGCACACGGAUCCUUAACGGUAGGCUGUUGUGUUUAUAAGCCAUGUAACAGUCAAAUAAAAUCUUAUGGUUACAUUGUAUUUGGGGAGGAUUUUGUUCGUGUUGAGAUUUGACAGUGAUUUCCAAUAGAUCUUCUAACGUUCUUCUAACGACAGCGUUUGACUUCCUUGGUGAUGCUGCAGUUCAACCUUUUCCCACAAGGUGUCAGAAGAGACCAAGAGUUAUUCCUAACGCGCUAGGUAGCCUAUGUGUCAGACGAGCAUGUUAUCCUCUUCAUGACGAUGCUAUUGUUCUCACUUUAAUCCAUUUUCAAACAAAUCAAAGGCAUUCUUGUGUGGUAAUCAAUGUUACUACACAUAAUAUCAUGUUUUAUGUCAUUACGUUAUGGAACCUGUAACUAGUGCCACAACUUGUAGUGUAAUAUGGAAAUAUUGUUACACGUGUGUAAUAAUAAAAGUUAACCUGAC
ensembl:lncRNA